rnacentral:rRNA from 2 species
UUUACCGGAGUACUAUGAAUAUUAAAAAUUUAAAACUCAAAGAACUUGGCGGUGUUUUAGACCACUCAGGGGAACCUGUCUCAUAAUCGAUAAUCCACGUUGUACCUGACCUUUUUUUGUAUUCAGUUUGUAUACCGUUGUCGUCAGGUAACUUUUUAGAAAUUAGAAGUUAGCAGCAGAAAUAAAAAUAAUUUAAUACGUCAAAUCAAGGUGCAGCUAAUGAAAAGGGGAGGAUGGGUUACAAUUAUAUAAUUUAUAAUAACGGAUAGGUAUAUGGAGUAUAUAUUAAUUAUAAGGCGGACUUGAAAGUAAAUUAGGUUAUAUAAAUAACUUGAAUGAGGCUCUGAAACGUGU